rnacentral:rRNA from 1 species
UACGAAGGGGGGCUAGCGUUGCUCGGAAUGACUGGGCGUAAAGGGCGCGUAGGCGGUUCGUACAGUCAGACGUGAAAUUCCCGGGCUCAACCUGGGGGCUGCGUUUGAUACGUACGGGCUUGAGUUCGGAAGAGGGUCGUGGAAUUCCCAGUGUAGAGGUGAAAUUCGUAGAUAUUGGGAAGAACACCGGUGGCGAAGGCGGCUCACUGGACCGGUACUGACGCUGAGGCGCGAAAGCUAGGGGAGCAAACAGG